CUCAAGUGAUGAUUAUUGGAGGUAGAGCACUGUUUGGACGAGGGGCCCCUCUCGGGUUACCGAAUUCAGACAAACUCCGAAUGCCAAUUAAUUUAACUUGGGAGUCAGAACAUGGGUGAUAAGGUCCAUGUUCGAAAGGGAAACAGCCCAGACCACCAGCUAAGGUCCCAAAAUAUAUGUUAAGUGGAAAAGGAUGUGGCGUUGCCCAGACAACUAGGAUGUUGGCUUAGAAGCAGCCAUCAUUUAAAGAGUGCG
rnacentral:rRNA from 1 species